CCCAGACUCCUACGGGAGGCAGCAGUGAGGAAUAUUGGUCAAUAGGCGGAAGCCUGAACCAGCCAAGUCGCGUGAGGGAAUAAGGCCCUACGGGUCGUAAACCUCUUUAGGCGGGGAGCAAUGCCGGGCACGCGUGCCCGGAGGGAGAGUACCCGCAGAAUAAGCAUCGGCUAACUCCGUGCCAGCAGCCGCGGUAAUACGGAGGAUGCGAGCGUUAUCCGGAUUUAUUGGGUUUAAAGGGUGCGUAGGCGGAUUUUUAAGUCAGCGGUAAAAUGUCCGGGCUCAACCCGGGCCGGCCGUUGAAACUGGGGAUCUUGAGUGGGCGAGAAGUAUGCGGAAUGCGUGGUGUAGCGGUGAAAUGCAUAGAUAUCACGCAGAACUCCGAUUGCGAAGGCAGCAUACCGGCGCCCGACUGACGCUGAGGCACGAAAGCGUGGGGAUCGAACAGGAUUAGAUACCCCUGUA
rnacentral:rRNA from 1 species